GGAUGAACGCUGACAGAAUGCUUAACACAUGCAAGUCUACUUGAUCCUUCGGGUGAUGGUGGCGGACGGGUGAGUAACGCGUAAAGAACUUGCCUUGCAGUCUGGGACAACGUCUGGAAACGGACGCUAAUACCGGAUAUUAUGAUUGAAUCGCAUGAUUUAAUUAUGAAAGCUAUAUGCGCUGCGAGAGAGCUUUGCGUCCCAUUAAUUAGUUGGUGAGGUAACGGCUCACCAAGACGAUGAUGGGCAGCCGGCCUGAGAGGGUGAACGGCCACAAGGGGACUGAGACACGGCCCUUACUCCUACGGCAGGCAGCAGUGGGGAAUAUUGGACAAUGGACCAAAAGUCUGAUCCAGCAAUUCUGUGUGCACGAUGAAGUUUUUCGGAAUGUAAAGUGCUUUCCGUUGGGAAGAAGAAAGUGACGGUACCAACACAAGAAGCGACGGUUAAAUACGUGCCAGCAGCCGCGGUAAUACGUAUGUCGCAAGCGUUAUCCGGAUUUAUUGGGCGUAAAGCGCGUCUAGGCGGUUUGGUAAGUCUGAUGUGAAAAUGCGGGGCUCAUCUCCU
rnacentral:rRNA from 1 species